rnacentral:rRNA from 1 species
GAUGAACGCUGGCGGCGUGCUUAACACAUGCAAGUCGAACGAGAAGUGAAGACGGAAACCUUCGGGCGGAAGGCUUUAUUUCGAGUGGCGGACGGGUGAGUAACGCGUGGGUAACCUGCCUCAUACAGGGGGAUAACAGUUGGAAACGACUGUUAAUACCGCAUAAGACCACAGCACCGCAUGGUGCGGGGGUAAAAACUCCGGUGGUAUGAGAUGGACCCGCGUUCGAUUAGCCAGUUGGCGGGGUAACGGCCCACCAAAGCGACGAUCGAUAGCCGAUCUGAGAGGAUGACCGGCCACAUUGGGACUGAGACACGGCCCAAACUCCUACGGGAGGCAGCAGUGGGGAAUAUUGCACAAUGGGGGAAACCCUGAUGCAGCGACGCCGCGUGAGUGAAGAAGUAUUUCGGUAUGUAAAGCUUUAUCAGCAGGGAAGAAAAUGACGGUACCUGAGUAAGAAGCCCCGGCUAACUACGUG